rnacentral:rRNA from 1 species
GACGAACGCUGGCGGCGUGCUUAACACAUGCAAGUCGAGCGGUAAGGCUCCUUCGGGAGUACACGAGCGGCGAACGGGUGAGUAACACGUGAGCAAUCUGCCCAUCACUUUGGGAUAACUCCGGGAAACCGGUGCUAAUACCGAAUACGACCACUUCAGGCAUCUGACGGUGGUGGAAAGUUCCGGCGGUGAUGGAUGAGCUCGCGGCCUAUCAGCUUGUUGGUGGGGUAAAGGCCUACCAAGGCUUCGACGGGUAGCCGGCCUGAGAGGGUGACCGGCCACACUGGGACUGAGACACGGCCCAGACUCCUGCGGGAGGCAGCAGUGGGGAAUAUGGGACAAUGGGCGAAAGCCUGAUCCAGCAACGCCGCGUGAGGGAUGACGGCCUUCGGGUUGUAAACCUCUUUCAGCGCCGACGAAGCGAAAGUGACGGUAGGCGCAGAAGAAGCACCGGCCAACUACGUGCCAGCCGCCGCGGUAAUAC